UAUUGAUAUGAUGAUAUCAUAUAUUUUUUUUUGGAAAAUAUGAUGUCGAAUAAAAAAAUCAGACUACAAUUAUCUGAUCAAUG
rnacentral:snoRNA from 1 species